AGUGAACGCUGGCGGCAGGCCUAACACAUGCAAGUCGAACGGCAGCACAGCAGUAGCAAUACUGUGGGUGGCGAGUGGCGGACGGGUGAGGAAUACAUCGGAAUCUGCCUAGUCGUGGGGGAUAACGUAGGGAAACUUACGCUAAUACCGCAUACGACCUACGGGUGAAAGCGGGGGAUCGCAAGACCUCGCGCGAUUAGAUGAGCCGAUGUCCGAUUAGCUAGUUGGCGGGGUAAUGGCCCACCAAGGCGACGAUCGGUAGCUGGUCUGA
rnacentral:rRNA from 1 species